CGUAGGUGGCGAGCGUUGUCCGGAAUUACUGGGCGUAAAGCGUGCGCAGGCGGUUUUGUAAGACAGAUGUGAAAUCCCCGGGCUCAACCUGGGACCUGCAUUUGUGACUGCAAGGCUAGAGUACGGUAGAGGGGGAUGGAAUUCCGCGUGUAGCAGUGAAAUGCGUAGAUAUGCGGAGGAACACCGAUGGCGAAGGCAAUCCCCUGGACCUGUACUGACGCUCAUGCACGAAAGCGUGGGGAGCAAACAGGAUUAGAUACCCUGGUAGUCCACGCCCUAAACGAUGUCAACUGGUUGUUGGGUCUUUACUGACUCAGUAACGAAGCUAACGCGUGAAGUUGACCGCCUGGGGAGUACGGCCGCAAGGUUG
rnacentral:rRNA from 1 species